rnacentral:rRNA from 1 species
UCUAUCCUACGGGGCGCAGCAGUGGGGAAUAUUGCACAAUGGGGGAAACCCUGAUGCAGCGCCGCCGCGUGAGCGAUGAAGUAUUUCGGUAUGUAAAGCUCUAUCAGCAGGGAAGAAAAUGACGGUACCUGACUAAGAAGCCCCGGCUAACUACGUGCCAGCAGCCGCGGUAAUACGUAGGGGGCAAGCGUUAUCCGGAUUUACUGGGUGUAAAGGGAGCGUAGACGGCAAUGCACGCCAGAUGUGAAAGCCCGGGGCUCAACCCCGGGACUGCAUUUG